rnacentral:rRNA from 1 species
UACGGAGGGUGCGAGCGUUAAUCGGAAUUACUGGGCGUAAAGCGCGCGUAGGUGGUUUGAUAAGCUAGCUGUGAAAGCCCUGGGCUCAACCUGGGAACUGCAGUUAGAACUGUCUGGCUAGAGUAUAGUAGAGGGUGGCGGAAUUUCCUGUGUAGCGGUGAAAUGCGUAGAUAUAGGAAGGAACAUCAGUGGCGAAGGCGGCCACCUGGACUAAUACUGACACUGAGGUGCGAAAGCGUGGGGAGCAAACAGG